rnacentral:rRNA from 1 species
GCAUGUGCUGUGAGCUCGAUGAGUAGGGCGGGACACGUGGUAUCCUGUCUGAAUAUGGGGGGACCAUCCUCCAAGGCUAAAUACUCCUGACUGACCGAUAGUGAACCAGUACCGUGAGGGAAAGGCGAAAAGAACCCCGGCGAGGGGAGUGAAAAAGAACCUGAAACCGUGUACGUACAAGCAGUGGGAGCCCCACCACUAAGCCAGUGGUGAACUCCACAUACGCAUCCUUUGCUGAGGAUACGGUUAACGGAGCGAAAGCGACGUUCAACCGCAAAAGAAGCAGAGGGGGCUUAGUGGUGGGGUGACUGCGUACCUUUUGUAUAAUGGGUCAGCGACUUAUAUUCUGUAGCAAGGUUAACCGCAUAGGGGAGCCGGAGGGAAACCGAGUCUUAACCGGGCGUUAAGUUGCAGGGUAUAGACCCGAAACCCGGUGAUCUAGCCAUGGGCAGGUUGAAGGUUGGGUAACACUAACUGGAGGACCGAACCGACUAAUGUUGAAAAAUUAGCGGAUGACCUGUGG